GCUUUGCCUGCUAUCUCUUACCCAUGUCUUUUGAGUACUUACGUUUCCUCGGUGGGUUCGCCCGCCGAUUGGACAAUUUAAACCCUUUGCAGUUGCAAUCAGCGUCUGAAAAACAUAAUAGUUACAACUUUCAACAACGGAUCUCUUGGUUCUGGCAUCGAUGAAGAACGCAGCGAAAUGCGAUAAGUAGUGUGAAUUGCAGAAUUCAGUGAAUCAUCGAAUCUUUGAACGCACAUUGCGCCCCUUGGUAUUCCAUGGGGCAUGCCUGUUCGAGCGUCAUUUGUACCUUCAAGCUUUGCUUGGUGUUGGGUGUUUGUCUCGCCUUUGCGUGUAGACUCGCCUUAAAACAAUUGGCAGCCGGCGUAUUGAUUUCGGAGCGCAGUACAUCUCGCGCUUUGCACUCAUAACGACGACGUCCAAAAGUACUUUUUUACACUCUUGACCUCGG
rnacentral:rRNA from 1 species